rnacentral:rRNA from 1 species
UACGUAGGGGGCGAGCGUUGUCCGGAAUCACUGGGCGUAAAGCGCACGUAGGCGGCUUUCUAAGUCAGGGGUGAAAUCCUGGAGCUCAACUCCAGAACUGCCUUUGAUACUGGGGAUCUCGAGUCCGGGAGAGGUGAGUGGAACUGCGAGUGUAGAGGUGAAAUUCGUAGAUAUUCGCAAGAACACCAGUGGCGAAGGCGGCUCACUGGCCCGGUACUGACGCUGAGGUGCGAAAGCGUGGGGAGCAAACAGG